rnacentral:rRNA from 1 species
GGUUCUGCGUCGUACUACAAUGCAGUCGAACGAGAUCCAUCAUGCUUUGCUUGUUGGGAGAGUGGCGAACGGGUGAGUAAUGCGUGACCGACCUGCCCCAUACACCGGACUAGCUCCUGGAAACGGGUGGCAAUGCCGGAUGCUCCAGUUGAUCGCAUGGCCUUCUGGGAAAGCUUUCCCGAGAUGGGAUGGGGUCGCGUCCUAUCAGCUUGACAUGGGGGUAACGGCCCACCGUGGCUUCGACGGGUAGCCGGCCUGAGAGGGCGACCGGCCACAUUGGGACUGAGAUACGGCCCAGACUCCUACGGGAGGCAGCAGUGCGGAAUAUUGCACAAUGGGCGCAAGCCUGAUGCAUCGACGCCGCGUGAGGGAUGGAGGCCUUCGGGUUGUAAACCUCUUUUAUCGGGGAGCAAGCGAGAGUGAGUUUACCCGUUGAAUAAGCACCGGCUAACUACGUGCCAGCAGCCGCGGUAAUACGUAGGGUGCAAGCGUUAUCCGGAAUUAUUGGGCGUAAAGGGCUCGUAGGCGGUUCGUCGCGUCCGGUGUGAAAGUCCAUCGCUUAACGGUGGAUCCGCGCCGGGUACGGGCGGGCUUGAGUGCCGUAGGGGAGACUGGAAUUCCCGGUGUAACGGUGGAAUGUGUAGAUAUCGAGAAGAACACCACUGGCUAAGGCAGGUCUCUGGGCCGUUACUGACGCUGAAGAGCGAAAGCGUGAGGAGCGAACAGGAUUAGAUACUCUGGUAGACCACGCCGUAUACGGUGAAUGCUGGAUGUGGGGCCCGUUCCACGGGUUCCGUGUCGGAGCUAACGCGUUAAGCAUCCCGCCUGGCGAGUACUGGCGCUAGGCUAAAACUCAAAGAAAUUGACGGCGGGCGCAGCACAAGCGGCGGAGCAUGAGUAUUAUUACUAUGCAACGCGCACGAACCUUACCUGGGCUUGACUUGUUCACGACGAUCGUAGAGAUACGAGCUUCCCUUCGGGUCGCGUUCAUAGGU